CCUACGGGAGGCAGCAGUAGGGAAUCUUCCGCAAUGGACGAAAGUCUGACGGAGCAACGCCGCGUGAACGAUGAAGGCCUUCGGGUCGUAAAGUUCUGUUGUUAGGGAAGAACAAGUGCUAGUUAAAUAAGCUGGCACCUUGACGGUACCUAACCAGAAAGCCACGGCUAACUACGUGCCAGCAGCCGCGGUAAUACGUAGGUGGCAAGCGUUGUCCGGAAUUAUUGGGCGUAAAGCGCGCGCAGGCGGUUUCUUAAGUCUGAUGUGAAAGCCCCCGGCUCAACCGGGGAGGGUCAUUGGAAACUGGGAAACUUGAGUGCAGAAGAGGAAAGUGGAAUUCCGAGUGUAGCGGUGAAAUGCGUAGAGAUUUGGAGGAACACCAGUGGCGAAGGCGACUUUCUGGUCUGUAACUGACGCUGAGGCGCGAAAGCGUGGGGAGCAAACAGGAUUAGAUACCCUGGUAGUCCACGCUGUAAACGAUGAGUGCUAAGUGUUAGAGGGUUUCCGCCCUUUAGUGCUGAAGUUAACGCAUUAAGCACUCCGCCUGGGGAGUACGGUCGCAAGCUGAAACUUAANAGAUUGCG
rnacentral:rRNA from 1 species